rnacentral:rRNA from 1 species
AUUGAACGCUAGCGGGAUGCCUUACACAUGCAAGUCGAACGGCGUGGCGAACGGGUGCGUAAUGUAUCGGAACGUGCCCAGUAGCGGGGGAUAACUACGCGAACGCGUAGCUAAUACCGCCUACUAUUGGAGCGGCCGGUACCGGGUUAGCUAUUGGGUGGGGUAAAGGGUCACCACGGCGAAGAUCCGUAGCUGGUUUUGGAGGGCGACCAUCCACACUGGGACUGUGACACGGCCCAGACUCCUACGGGAGGGAGCAGUGGGGAAUAUUGGGCAAUGGGGGAAACCCUGAUCCAGCCCUCCCGCGUGUGCGAUGAAGGCCUUCGGGUUGUAAAGCACUUUUGGCAGGAAAGCGGUACCUGCAGAAUAAGCACCGGCUAAAUACGUGCCAGCAGCCGCGGUAAUUC